rnacentral:rRNA from 1 species
UGGGGAAUAUUGCACAAUGGGCGCAAGCCUGAUGCAGCCAUGCCGCGUGUAUGAAGAAGGCCUUCGGGUUGUAAAGUACUUUCAGUCGGGAGGAAGGUGGUAAGGUUAAUAACCUUAUCAAUUGACGUUACCGACAGAAGAAGCACCGGCUAACUCCGUGCCAGCAGCCGCGGUAAUACGGAGGGUGCAAGCGUUAAUCGGUAUUACUGGGCGUAAAGCGCACGCAGGCGGUUGAUUGAGUCAGAUGUGAAAUCCCCGGGCUUAACCCGGGAAUUGCAUCUGAUACUGGUCAGCUAGAGUCUUGUAGAGGGGGGUAGAAUUCCAUGUGUAGCGGUGAAAUGCGUAGAGAUGUGGAGGAAUACCGGUGGCGAAGGCGGCCCCCUGGACAAAGACUGACGCUCAGGUGCGAAAGCGUGGGGAGCAAACAGG